rnacentral:rRNA from 1 species
UUUAAACCAACCCUAGAAACACUUUACUAGUAGGUUUGGCGUGGGUUUCUGGCCUCCGGGUCAGAAGCGUUCUGCCUACCUAUGUACACCACAAACUCUUAAAGUAACAUAAUGAAAACGCGUCUAACGCAUCUUAAUACAACUUUCAGCAACGGAUCUCUUGGCUCUCGCAUCGAUGAAGAACGCAGCGAAAUGCGAUAAGUAAUGGGAAUUGCAGAAUUCAGUGAAUCAUCGAAUCUUUGAACGCACCUUGCGCUCCUUGGUAUUCCGAGGAGCAUGCCUGUUUGAGUGUCAUGAAAUUCUCAACCCAUAAAUCCUUGUGAUCUAUGGGCUUGGAUUUGGAGGCUUGCUGGCCGUAACGGUCGGCUCCUCUUGAAUGCAUUAGCUUGAUUCCGUGCGGAUCGGCUCUCAGUGUGAUAAUUGUCUACGCUGUGACCGUGAAGCGUUUUGGCGAGCUUCUAACCGUCCAUUAGGACAAUUUUAUAACAUCUGACCUCAAAUCAGGUAGGACUACCCGCUGAACUUAAGCAUAUCAAUAAGCGGAGGAA